rnacentral:rRNA from 1 species
AGAGUUUGAUCAUGGCUCAGGAUGAACGCUAGCUACAGGCUUAACACAUGCAAGUCGAGGGGAAACGACAUCGAAAGCUUGCUUUUGAUGGGCGUCGACCGGCGCACGGGUGAGUAACGCGUAUCCAACCUGCCCAUCACUUGGGGAUAACCUUGCGAAAGUAAGACUAAUACCCAAUGAUAUCUCUAGAAGACAUACUGAAAGAGAUUAAAGAUUUAAUCGGUGAUGGAUGGGGAUGGCGUCUGAUUAGCUUAGGUUGGCGGGGUAACGGCCCACCAAGGCGUACGAUCAGGUAGGGGUUCUCGGAAGAGGAACGGCCCCCACAAGUUGGAACUGACGACGUACGGUCCAAACCGUCCGUACGGGACGUCA